GGGGGGGGGGGGGGGGGGGGGGGGGGGGGGGGGGUGGGGGGCAGGGGUGAGGGGGUUGGGCCUGGGACGUUGGCGGCGGAGGGGUGGGGAAGACGUGGGUAACCUACCGGUAAGACGGGGGUAAGUUGGGGAGACCGGAGCUGCUCCCGGGUCGCAGUUGGAACCGCGUGGUUCUAGAGUGGAAGGUGGUUGUGCUAUCGCUUCUACUUGGACCAGCGCCGUAUUAGCUCGUUGGUAAGGUAACGGCUUAUCAAGGCACCGAUACGUAGCCGACCUGAGAGGGUGAUCGGCCACACUGGAACAGAGACACGGUCCAGACUCCUACGGGAGACAGCAGUAGGGAAUCUUCCGCAAUGGGCGAAAGCCUGACGGAGCAACGCCGCGUGAGUUAUGAAGGGUUUCGGCUCGUAAAACUCUGUUAUUAGGGAAGAACAAAUGUGUAAGUAACUGUGCACGUCUUGACGGUACCUAAUCAGAAAGCCACGGCUAACUACGUG
rnacentral:rRNA from 1 species